CUCCUACGGGGGGCAGCAGUGAGGAAUAUUGGUCAAUGGGCGGGAGCCUGAACCAGCCAAGCCGCGUGAAGGAAGAAGGCGCCAGGCGUCGUAAACUUCUUUUGUCGGGGAACAAAGGGCGCCACGCGUGGCGUUGUGAGUGUACCCGAAGAAAAAGCAUCGGCUAACUCCGUGCCAGCAGCCGCGGUAAUACGGAGGAUGCGAGCGUUAUCCGGAUUUAUUGGGUGUAAAGGGCGCGUAGGCGGGAUAGCAAGUCAGUCGUGAAAUGCCGAGGCUUAACCUCGGAGCUGCGAUUGAAACUGUUU
rnacentral:rRNA from 1 species